GGAUGUGAAAGGUCCCGGCUCAACCGGGGAGGUGCAUCCGAAACUGCCGGGCUUGAGGGCAGGAGAGGGCAGCGGAAUUCCCGGUGGAGCGGUGAAAUGCGUAGAGAUCGGGAGGAACACCAGUGGCGAAGGCGGCUGCCUGGCCUGUCCCUGACGCUGAGGCGCGACAGCGUGGGGAGCGAACGGGAUUAGAUACCCCGGUAGUCCACGCCGUAAACGAUGGGUGCUAGGUGUGGGAGGUAUCGACCCCUUCCGUGCCGGAGCUAACGCACUAAGCACCCCGCCUGGGGAGUACGGCCGCAAGGCUGAAACUCAAAGGAAUUGACGGGGGCCCGCACAAGCGGUGGAGCAUGUGGUUUAAUUCGAAGCAACGCGAAGAACCUUACCUGGGCUUGACGUCACCGCGAACCUGGCCGAAAGGCUGGGGUGCCCCUUCGGGGGAGCGCGGUGACAGGUGCUGCAUGGUUGUCUUCAGCUCGUGUCGUGAGAUGUUGGGUUAAGUCCCGCAACGAGCGCAACCCCCGCCCUGUGUUGCCAGCGGUUCGGCCGGGCACUCACAGGGGACUGCCGGUGACAAACCGGAGGAAGGUGGGGAUGACGUCAAAUCAUCAUGGCCCUUAUGCCCAGGGCUACACACGUGCUACAAUGGCCGGUACAACGGGUUGCGAACCCGCGAGGGGGAGCCAAUCCCUAAAAGCCGGUCCCA
rnacentral:rRNA from 1 species